AGCACAGGUAGCAAUACUGGGUGGCGACCGGCAAACGGGUGCGGAACACGUACGCAACCUUCCUUCAAGCGGGGGAUAGCCCAGGGAAACUUGGAUUAAUACCCCAUAAGACAGUGGUGUGGCAUCACAGAGCUGUUAAAGUUACGACACUUGAAGAUGGGCGUGCGGCUGAUUAGGUAGUUGGCGGGGUAACGGCCCACCAAGCCGACGAUCAGUAACUGGUGUGAGAGCACGACCAGUCACACGGGCACUGAGACACGGGCCCGACUCCUACGGGAGGCAGCAGUAAGGAAUAUUGGUCAAUGGACGCAAGUCUGAACCAGCCAUGCCGCGUGGAGGAUGAAGGCCCUCUGGGUUGUAAACUUCUUCUAUUGGGGAAGAAACCGGUUUUUUCUAAAGCCGUUGACGGUACCCGAUGAAUAAGCACCGGCUAACUCCGUGCCAGCAGCCGCGGUAAUACGGAGGGUGCAAGCGUUAUCCGGAUUCACUG
rnacentral:rRNA from 1 species